AGAGCUGGAUACCCAUUAUGAUAUUAUCUCUGACAAGAAGUCUGCUGAGAUCUCUUUCCAAGGAGAUUCACUGAUGAAAAAGCUGUAUGUUGAGGGUAGCUAUAAUCUGAAAUAUGGAUCUUUUAAGGUUAUGACUCCUAUUGAGGACUUCAGAGUCCUGGGUGCUGAAUAUACACUAAACCUUGAUGAUACAACAGAAAUUGAUGCUUCUGUUAAGAUCAGUCAAAAUUCCAAUGAAUGGGCCUUCGAGGCAAAUGGACAAUACAGUGAUGAUAACAUUGUUAUAAAGUUCCAGACACCAUUUGAGGGCUUUGAUACUAUUGCUGUUGAAGGCAAUCUAAACUAUGGAAACAGAUCUGGAAAAGGUGUCAUUCAAUUUGGGUCUUAUAAGUUUACCACCAGCAUUACUUAUGCAAAUGACAACAUGUCCUUUGAGCUGACGACUCCCUUUGAUGCAAUGAAGACUGUGUCCCUUUCAGCUCAGUACAACUGGACUACCAGCCAAAAGAGUGCUACUCUAAACAUCACUUACAAUGACAAGAACUUCGUUCUCUCCAGUUCUCUGCAGCUCUCUGCAAGGGCCUCUGACAUCACCUUCCAGGCCGGAACUCCUUUCAAGGGUUUCCAGAACACUUUCAUUGAAAUUAAGUAUGAUGUUGAUAACAGAGAGGAGCUCCUUGCAUCCCGUGUCAGUGUAGAUGAUCACAAAUACAGCUUUGUUGUAGGUGGAUUUAUUGAAGACAAGCUAGCCAUGUUCAAGUGGAACCUUAACUCUCCUUUCAGUGGCUGGACUGAUGCCAAGUUUGUAGCAAAGAUUGAUCUUUCCAGUGAAAAUAAAAACAUUGAAAUCUCCCUUGAGAAAGAAGGAGACCUUAAAGCUAUUGCAGUCUCUGGCAAGUUCAUUGGCAGUACAUUGGACUUUAAUCUGCAAACUCCUUUCAGAGGGCUCAAUAAUUUCAACGUGUUUGGAUCUCUUAACCGGUCCAAGAGGUCUCUUGAAAUGAGAAUGAUGAAUGAUGCAGGACAAGUAUCUUUAGCUGGCAAUUUCAAUUCCCUCAGAUUCAACAUGAAGACUCCAUUUGAAAGAGUAGAACAGAUCUCCUGGGAGAUCACCAAGACUGGUGAAGGCUCCUACAAAGCUGAAUGGAGGAGGAAUGAUAAUUAUGCCAUACUUACAACAGAAAAAGAUGGAAAGAAAAAUUCUUUUCAAGUGAAUGUGAAGAGUGAGUUUCAGGGAUGGGAGAUCCUGGCUCUUACUGGAAGACUGGACGAAGGGACAAAACAAGCCUACCUCAGUGGAGCCAUCAAUGAACAGAAGAUCACUAUCUCUGGAUCAGGUUCCUUUGGUAGCAGAAGCAAUUAUAGCAUGAAGAUUGAAACUCCCUAUGACAACUACAGAGUUGUAAAUGUCCAACUUGAUUAUUUGAAGAGAAGGAAUACAAUGAAGAUUGAGGCCUCUUCAUCCUCUUCUGAUUUCCAUCUUCUUUGGUCAUACUCAGGAUCAGGCAUUGAAGCUCACCUUAUUGUACCUAAUUCACAGCAGAAUACUGAAAUUUCCAUCAACCUGGCCCCUACUCAAGGAAAAAUUACCAUAACAUCACGAUUUGAGCCUAUCAGGGACUACCUCCAGGAAUACCAUGUUAACUUGGGUGAGACUGUUAUCACUGCUGAUCAUAUUAUCAAGCUGAAUGGUCAUGAGGUUUUCAAGAUGGAAUUUGAGAGGAAUGCUCUUGAACAGAAGGGACACCUAGAAAUUCACAUUCACGUUGCAGAACGUCACACAACCAUUCACUUCCAUCGUGAGGGCUUUAGCAAGCUUAAUUUCCUGUUUAAACGUGAAGUACCACAGUAUGGUGAAAAACACUUCAAGGUUGACAUAACUGGAUCAGGAGCAUUGCCACAAAAGGGUGCACUUGAUAUUGUUGUUGAGAACACUUUUCGUGAACCAGCUAGGACCAUCAAUGCACGUGUUGAAGUAGACCGGACUGGCGCUCAAAAGAAAAUUUUGCUGGAGAUUAUUCCUAGACAAAGCAGACUGUAUGCUUUUAACCUUGAAUAUGAUGCAGACCUUCAAAGCCCACGACAUGGAGACUUCACUUUGAGUAUUACAACUCCAAGCAGGCGAGCAGCCCCAUGGCAGAAUAUAUCUGGAAAUUGGAAUGUUGAAAAUCCAAAUGAUGCUACAAUAACCUUCACAAUGGGCAACAUCACUUAUAAUGCCAGAGGAAAACUUACUCUUCGAGAAUCCACCAUGAUACUCUCUUCAACAAAUUCAUCAGCUGAGAACAUUUACCUCCAGUGGAAAUUUGAACGAGAUGGCAGCACUAGAGAUUAUUUCCUUAAGCUUGGCCGUGAGUCCAAAUAUGGAAUGCUGAAGCUGAAGGGAACAAUUAUUGAUAUUGCUCAUGUGGAUAUUGAAGGAGGCCUCAAGGCUGGACCAUUCAUGCCAAAUGAGUUUCUGUUUACCUCUAUGUGGAACAAGGCUAAUGGUGUAGUCACUGGAGAAGGUACAUUUGAUUAUGGAAACUAUCAUGGCUCCCAUCGCCUAGUAAAGUUUGAACGAAAUGCAGAAAGGAAAUCGGCAUCCUUUGAAUGGUCAGCAACUUCAAAUAUUCCCCAGUACAACUCUGUUUCGGUUUCAGGAAAUUAUGACUUUGACCACAAAGUUGUUAUCUUUGUCCUCAUAAAUGCUGAUGGUAGAGAAUCUAAAAUUGAUGUUAACAUUGCUGAUAUCAACCCCACAAUAUCUCGUAAUACAGCAAUGAUUUCUAUCCCACUCCUAGGAUCUACAUUUGAAAGAACAGAACUCACUGUCAGUCAUGACUUUAGCCAUCCAAACCGAAAAUCUAUCUCAGCUGUUGCAAAGUUUGGUCGUUCAGAAUCCUUCAUUAAUGCCAAGUGGAACCGAAGUGAUGGUUUUGAAACCCUUGAAGGAAAAAUAGAGGCAAAUCUAGAUUCCUUGGAGAUAUUCUAAUCAACGUCAGGUAUAACAUGUCCAAUAUUGCAGAUGCUUAUGCUGAAGUUGACUAUUCAAGAACGACAACAGAUGGUGACAAAAAGGAAUUCAAACUCAACUGGACUAGGAAAUCUACUGAUGACCAUCUUGAAAAUGAAAUGAUCUUUGACUCCAACUUUGAGACCCUGUCACAUGCACGUGCAUAUGCCAAUGCUGAGUAUGGUAACAAUUUCAAAUUGUUAUCUGGGCUGGAUUGGAAUGAUAAGAAAAUUAACCUUACCCUUGAAGUUCGCAAAAAUAAGAUUUCAGGAAAGCUUACCACACCAUUUGAAGGAUUUGAAACAAUAGAGGUAGACCUGCAGUAUAAGCUUACUGGUAAGGACAAGUCAAUUAAUGCAACAUAUCAACGUGGAGAUAGGAAGGCUAGCCUCAAUAUGGAGUUGAGCAUGAAGGGUAAAAAAGGAGGUUCGUUUAAAGUUGAUCUCAGUACACCUUUUGAAGUGGUGAAAAACCUUCAUAUUGAUGGUCAGUAUGAAAUAAAGUGGCUCAAGUUAAUUACCAAGAAACGAUAUUCACAUGAACUUCAAUGGAAAGGCUAACAUCAAGUCAAGUAAAGCUUCCUUUUACAUUUCAUUCACACCUCCAGCGGACAAAAAAUCAGGAUAGCUGCUUCAUAUGAUGUACAGGACUUCAUUGCUGGUACAGGAACUGAGGAGAAGGAACUAGCUAGUCUUCACUUGAAUUUGAAGGUAACUCAUUGGACUUCAGCCCUUCUGGCUUCCGCAAUGAUGACAGACUCUAUGUGAUGAUUCAUGGGUCUUCCUCCUUUGCAGUGCUCAAGAUGUUCCAUCUCAAAUUAGAUUCUGAACUGAAUACUCAGGCAAGGGAUGGCACUUUUGAACUCACUUUCAAUGAUUUUAAAUUCAAUGUAAGCAAUCACUUUGAAAGACGAGAAGACAAUGGUUAUUACUUAGAAGCAAGAUUGAGUCGACACUCACUCCACUCCCAGCACUGAUCAUUGGUCUUGGGCGUGAAGGUGAAGAACGUAUCAUAACCGUUGGUUAUGGAGAGGACAAAGAGUUUACUUUCUCUAUAAAAGGUAAGAACACUUCCUUUCUGGAUUUUCGGGCAAGGUUGACAUUCCCUCCCUAAAUUAUGAAGGAGUGGAAUAUGAUGUGGAUUACAGCUUCCCAGGUGAUAAUCACCUCCAAUUCAUGUCGAGAUUGACUUAAACGAAACGAGCAAGAAGUGGAGGCAACAUUCUUCCUGGAUUCAGAAGGUAUCAAGGCUCGCCUGUCAUCCACUGUACUGGUGACCAUUCCUUGCGUGUUCGUCGAUCAGUGUCCCCUGAUGGCUUUUAUGCUGAAGCUGGUCUUGAUGAUUACAGCCUGAAAUUGCGAGGAGGCUUCAAGAACGAGAUACCGCACGGGUGUACUACUGGAAGGAGAAGUAUUUGGUAAUAGAUUCCUUGUUGACACCUUAUUCCAGUGGAAGGAAAGCGAUAUUCUGAGGGUAAACUUAUCAUCCACACUCCAUUCCCUGGCAUGGAAAAGAUGGGUGGCCUAUUCACAUGGUCUAAUGCAAACAAGAAAAUCAUGGCCCAUGCUGAACUACAUCUUCCUUCUUAUAUAACACCUACAAUUACUGGUGAGAUUAGCCUAGACCUUAAAAAGAAGAUCAAUGGUUAUGUCACGCUUGACGUAGCUGGAGAGGAAUUCACCUGAAGUGCAAUCUUGCUGGUUCUUCCAUUUCUCAAGGUUAUACAGGUUCACUUGAAUUCUAUACUCAUUCCAUGCUGUAUCACAUGUUAUGUUGACAGGCGACAUAAAAAUGCAGGCAUUGUCCUUCCUUGACAUGGAAGUAAAAAUUUAAGCACCUUUUGCCACACAUGACCUUAAACUGAAAUACCAGCUUAGUGCUGACAAAAUCUCUGGGGAAGCUUUCCUUGAGUCAACAAGGUUGUAUAACACCAUUCAGCUAAGCCUUAAUCUUGAGGGCCUCAGCACUGGAAAUGUAGAGGUUGACUUGACUGUCAAUGACAACAAGAUUAAAGCACAUUACAUUUUGGCUCAAUCCACCUUCAAAUUCGACGUGACAACCGUUAUUUUUAGCAAGGAACGCCAGUUCUCCAUUGAAGCUAAGUAUCCAUCUCUGGAGAGCCUCGAGGGUGUAGUUGCUGUUACUCUGGAAGGUGAAAAGCACAUGGUUAGUGGAAGCCUGAACAUCGUUAACAAUCGUAUCCAAGGAGCCCUGGAUUUGGAAUCUGACCUUAUUCAGCGGCCACAGAAACUGAUGUUCGACGUUUCCAAGCCAAGUACUUCCUAUAAACAAGCCUCAUUUAAAAUCAUUUUCACUAGCAGUGACCCUCAUUCCUUCUACCUGGAUUUGGAUCUAAGAAGUGGGCUUAAAGCUACUGUAAAGAUUGAUACACCCUUUUUUCCAAAAGUUACCACUACCCUGCAAGUAACCCUGCUGUUGCUGGAAUCACCGUCGAGACCCCAAAGGAACACACAAGAUUCAGGUUAGCUGGCGCCAGACUCGUAGAAUGCCAUCUGACUGGAUUGCUUCCCUAGAGCUGAUCUCUCCAUUGCUGCCUGAGAACUACCUCUCAUGUUAACCUUGAAGUAAACACAUCAUGGCUGAGCUGCGCACAGGGAGCAUAAAGCACAAUCUUGAAGCCAGAACCUCAAUGUCUAACUAUGGUGGUGAUUUGUCUCUCAUGAUUGACACACCCUUUAAGAAUAUCAAUAAAGUUAUGUUUGAUGCCUCACUCAACUUCCAGAACAAUGUUGAACUGUAUAUCACAGCCAAGUUUGCCAACACAGUCAAUUCCUUCCGGUUCAAUUUGGAUAAGGAAAACAGGAAGCUAAUUAGCAUUGUGGAAUCUCCAUACAUUCCAACGGGAAUGGCUGAAGCUGAAGCUAUGCUCGCUGGAAAUACAAAUGAGAACAUGCAAAUGAAGAUGACUUUGAAGAAUGCUGAAGAUACCAUCUCUGGAAUCCUCAAUAUUAAGAUCAAGUCUUCACAGAAUAUCAAUACCAACCUCAAGAUUAUUACGCCAUUCAGGUUACAAGAAGAUGAAUUUCGGUGCCCGCUACCUAAAGAUGAGGUGACCAACAUUUCCGUGUUUGCUGACAAGCCUCUGAAGUUUAAGGCAGAUCUUCAGUUUGGAAACACCGAGGAUGCCGUGGCAACCAACUUGGUUGUUGAAACUCCCAUUGAAGACUUCGAGAGGAUCGAGGCUGAAAUGAAGGUUCCCCUGUACAGGUUUGCUCCGAAGGUGAUGCUGACUCUCCCUCACAACCGUUACGGAUUUACUGCAGAUUACGGCAGUGACUCUUUCUCUCAGAAGUUAUCUGCUGGCGUGACGGUGAACGAGGAAUCAUAUGACGGAUACUACUCUCUGAGGACAAAGGCGCCCUACGAACUGGCUUAUGGCUACAACUUAGCUCACUUGGCAAGCACACGAUUCCAUCUUAGAACCGACUCGUCAUUCUUCUCUGUGUUUGCAUAAAUUCAGUGUGAUUUGUUUGAAAGACAUUGAAGUAUGAGUAUGUAUAACUUGCCAAAUACUUUAACGACAUUAGUUUGUUUUAAAAUAUAUGCCCAUGCAAAAUACUGUUGAAGAAUUACCAAGGCUGCGAUCCUGUACCUAAGUAUUCCUAGCCUUUGGUUCGAAUAAACUUGCAUUUAUGUAUAUAGAAGUUCAUGAUUAUGACAUGUAUCAACAAUAAAGACUUCAUCAAAAAAUA